rnacentral:rRNA from 1 species
AACCUAAAGGCGGAAUGAAAGUAAAGGGGGCUUUGCUUCCGAGGGAAGAUGGGUACGUCUUGCCUUUAAAGGCGGUACCCCGCACUCCCGGGGCGUCUCUUUUCUCUUUAUGAGUGGAGGCGCACCUAUAGCGCACACGCUGAUACCCGAAAGAUGGUGAACUAUGCCUGGCCAGGACGAAGCCAGGGGAAACCCUGGUGGAGGUCCGCAGCGAUUCUGACGUGCAAAUCGAUCGUCGGAGCUGGGUAUAGGGGCGAAAGGCCAAUCGAACCAUCUAGUAGCUGGUUCCCUCUGAAGUUUCCCUCAGGAUAGCUUGCGCUCGGAGAGAAGAGUCUCAUCCGGUAGAGCGAAUGAUUAGAGGCCUUGGGGUCGAAACGACCUCAACCUAUUCUCAAACUCCAAAUAGAUGAGAUGCCCGGCUUGCUUGAAAGUGAAGCCGGGACUCGGAUCAGAGUGCCAAGUGGGCCAAUUUUGGUAAGCAGAACUGGCGCUGUGGGAUGAACCAAACGCAGAGUUAAGGCGCCUGAAUCGACGCUCAUGUGAAACCAUGAAAGGCGUUGGUUGCUUAAGACAGCAGGAUGGUGGCCAUGGAAGUCGGAAUCCGCUAAGAGAGGGGGUGUAAAAA